UGGAGAGUAAACUAAAUCAAGUUACUGGGCUCAUGACCCGGAUAUAGGCUUCGUCCUCCUCCUU
rnacentral:tRNA from 1 species